GCCCAAGCAGCUUUUAACUACAUAUUUGUUUCCCUCCGAAAAGAAGGAAUUUGCUCCUAGCAAACAUUAACUGGUUUAACAUCGCGAGCGUGGCUAUGCAUACAAUCAGAUGGAUAGUGUCGUCUAUCCAGAAUAUAGCAGGUGUAUGGCAAUCAAAUGAAACAUGUGUCCUUAUCCAUGUUGUAAAGAAGUAGAAUAUAUUGUGGACACUGUUAAUUAACAGAGAUAACAAAGCAAAUUGCUACUGUAUUUCCAUACUCUGUAAAAUUGAAACCGAAGCAUAAAAACUAAAAACUUAGGUAGAUAAUUAGAAGUAGGAUGGCCUUACCGAUCAGGCAUUUGAGCAGUAUGACAGCAAAAUGAACCAUACAAUUAUUUAUAACAACAAAACCCAUAUUACUAAUGAUGAAGGAAGAAAAAAAAAUAUUAUGUAUAACAUGGCCUUUACAUUUAUCUAGUAAAUGAAGCGCUUCAACCGGGAGCUUUUAGGAGCCGGGAAACAGAUGCCGCAGUUCGACGUGAAUUGUUGAUAUAUUAUUCAGAAACCAAAAGGAAUAUAUGAGUGACAUAUAAUCAGAUGAGCCGAUUUAAAGAUGAAUAUGAAAAAUACACAUUUGACCAUAUAACUUGAUCCGUACUUAUCCGAGGCUGUAAUGAUGAAGUUCGUCCUGCCCUUAGUAACCAGGUUCCCAGAUCGAUGGGAUCGAGGAACGGGAACGUGGUACGCUUCCCAGAUCGAUGGGAUCGAGGAACGAGAACGUGGUACGCGGUACGCUACAAAAUCUAGGAUUUAACACUACUGGAACGAGAUUGUUCCCACAUUCCCGGAACGGAACGAACGUUCCCGGAACGAGGAACGUGGCCAAGUUCCUGGUUCCCGGUUACUAAGCCUGCCAAUUCACCGCACGGAAGGUUUUGGAUAUUGUGAACCAAUCACGAUGUAGUUCAAGUGGAUGCGAGAGCUAUAAAAUUACAAUUAAUACGUCUUGUUAGACAUGCACAACAGUUAAUGUACGCAUGAAAAUAUAUAAGUUAGUUGAUGUAGUCAUCACCAACGAAGUCUAAAUAUCCUGUAGUAGCGUAUAUGUUUUAAGGACAACAUGUAAUGCAUGGUGGUAUGACAAAACAAAUGUCGGGACAUUUUGUCGAACAACCUAGGUGCACGGCUGACAACAGAUCUACUUUGAUGUCCUAGACGAGCAAAAAAAAUAUUGUUGGCACAUUUCAUCGAACAACCUGAGUGUGCGGAGUGCUUACCAUUUACACAGCAGGCAUACGAGACAAGAUGGUGAACGUAAGUUUUGAGAGUCGCAAACCAACGUGUGGCGGGCGAGCACAUGUGAACUAGAAACGAAAGCAGUGGCCACGUCUGCACGACAACGACGUCAGCGGAGCCACGACAUCAGCGGAGCCACGAUAGAGUAGAAGAACGAGCGAACAAAUUACAUGCGAGGCGAGGCAACGGGAACGAACCUGGCGCGAUCGGAGAUGCUGUUGAUGACCGCGGGAUGGGUUGCGUCUUGGCCGGGACAAAACCCUUGUCGCCCUAUCCAGAUUCCUCGUUGGUGAGUGGAGCUGAGUCUCGAGUCCGACGUCGCUUCCAGAAAGACCGAGAGAGGAGGCUCGCUGCUGAUAUCAGAGAGGUUGGU
rnacentral:lncRNA from 1 species